ensembl:lncRNA
GCUUUACUGUCAUAUUGGAGAUACUGGAGAUAUGGUGAAACACAGGACAAGUGUGCGAUCUACGAAACAUAGAGUAUGUGUUCGUCGGAGGACCAUUGGUGGUGCUACCAAAGUUUCUGUUUUGAGAAACGUUUCACAUCCACCUGUAACCGUGGAUGUUACACCUGUCACCACCACAUCAUCUCUGGAUGAACAUUCAGAGGCAGAACCAAGCAGCAGUUGCAUGUCCGAGACUGCUUACACAAAAGCAAAGAAGAAGGAGCUCAGGGCCUGGGACUCAUUGAAGAGGAUAUGCUGCGGGUAUCUUAUGAGUCAUCAGCACCAUCUACAAAUAUCUGUGCUCUCUGCAAAGAGGAUGCAGAGUAUAGGUGCCUUGAGUGCAGCAGUACUAAUAUGUUUUGUGAGACCUGUAUCACAAAAACCCACCGCAAUUCCUUGCACCUACCAGAGAAAUGGAAUGCCAGUUGUGCAGCUUCAGCGUGACUCUUUGUACAUGUGAACCAGAAACUUGCACCCUGCUCAGAUAUGGAAUCUGGCCUGCGACACCAGAGAGGCCUCAAACAGCGUUCUCUAUAGCUCUUUUGGAGCUUUUUCAUUAUCUGUCCAUGGAAUGCCAGGUGUCUGAGGGAUUCUGCAAUAUGUUGCGGUGGAAAAACAAUCUGUCUCUUUCAGAGGUUAACAUGCUCUACAGAGCUCUGGUGGGAGAAUCUAUAUCCCAGUUUCGCCACCACCACUUUAGAUGCAGAAGUUUAUCUGGUCUUUGUCCCUCAUUUGAUGAUGGAACAACAUGCCCAGUAUGUCCUAAGAGUAACGGCAAUCUGAUUGUAACAAUGGAUGCCAACUUUGGCCUUGUUCGAAAAAGAAGUUCAGGAAGUAGUUUGGUGGAGCCGUUGCAUGGUAACAGAAUGUUUGUGAGGGAAGAAGAUGUGCAAGAAUACCUGUCAUCCCAUCCUGAUGGUUCCAAGCCAAAUGAAGACUGUAGUAAUUUCAAGGCAGGGAACCUGCUUCGUUCUCAAAAAAAACAACAAAAACUAGAUGUAACAGGGGUGUUUGGAGUCUCUUGCCGCCAUGAGAUUCCGUUGGUGUUUUUGAACAUGACCCAGGGAGAACGAAAAAAGCAGAAGCAAUGCAACAAGGCGUAUCUCUGGCUGUUCCAGCAUUUCAUGUUUUUGGUCAUAAAUUACAGUGUCAGGUUCUGUACAGUACGAGAAGAUUAAAAGGCUUUGGGCUAACAGAUGGAGAAGGUAUGGAGAGGUUAUGGUCCUUCCUUAGAAGAUUUGCUCGUAUUACAAAAGAGAUGAGUCCAUCCCACCGGCUUGACCUCUUGACUGAAGCACUUCUUUAUUAUGGGAGGAGAAAAACAGCGGAUAUAGAAGUGCAGCUCCAUCACAGAUGGGAAAAAGCAGAGAAGGUCGCUAAUCUAGCUAAAGAGGAGUUAGCUGCUGUCUUAAAAGAGGCACCAGCGAGUGUUUCAGAGCACACUGUACAGAGAUGGAUGGAAACGGAGAACGAAGUUGCUAGAUUGACAGUUUUGAAAACCAAAACAGCAGACAGUGUUCCCAAAUGGAAGAGGGUGUAUGUGACAACGCUGAUUGAGCUCCAGCAGCUCAAUCAACACUGUUAG